rnacentral:rRNA from 1 species
UACGGAGGGAGCUAGCGUUGUUCGGAUAUACUGGGCGUAAAGCGCACGUAGGCGGCGCCGUAAGUCAGGGGUGAAAUCCCGGAGCUCAACUCCGGAACUGCCCUUGAGACUGCAGUGCUAGAAUCCUGGAGAGGCGAGUGGAAUUCCGAGUGUAGAGGUGAAAUUCGUAGAUAUUCGGAAGAACACCAGUGGCGAAGGCGACUCGCUGGACAGGUAUUGACGCUGAGGUGCGAAAGCGUGGGGAGCAAACAGG